GCGUGGGGAGAGGAGGGCGUACAGAGCGUUCUUGAGCCUCAAAGGACAUUGACUGAGGGGGUACCCAGAACAGUGCGCCCAAAGACUCCUGGGUUGAAAACCAGCGUGACCUAAGAAAAUGACAGUCAUUUCCUGCUGAGGAAGAAGGAGGGAACCGAGAACCCCGGAGACCGACAAAGGCGUCUCCGAGAGCAGAACCUGAAGGGCGGCCGAUGGGUGUACUCAGCUGUCGGUACCUUCAGGUGACCUCACCUGAUUCCUUCAGAGAGCAGGGCUUUCGCCUCAGGCUUGGUCGGCAGAUACAAAGUGCAGGGGCAGAGGAUGUCACCACUUUCUCUUCUGGGAGGGACAUGGCGCCAGUUCAGUGUCAUCUGCGUUUCUGUUUUUCACCAAGACCAGCUGUUUUUGCUCUAAACAAGAUAGACUGAACUUUCCAGACCUUGGUUCCCCGCUAAGAAGAAAAGGAGCCCUGAAAGCCACCUUUGGUUACCGGCCUGAAAUGCCCUGAGGAACAUAAGCAACCUCAUGGAAUUUUUACAUCAGAUGAGGUCUCUAAUGAGAUGGAAGGUGAAGAAAAUAAGACUAAUUGUGUCUAAACAGAUAUACAGACACUGCAGCCACAAAAAGAUGACCAAACAUUCCUGCCCUAGCAAAGUGAUGAAGGGCAGCAUCUAAGUUUAUCUCCUUCCUGCUGUAUCCUGAGGAGCUGGAUGGUCCCCUGCCUGAAGGAAGAACCAAAGUAGUGUUGAAUUAAUAGAUAAAUGAAGCUAACUACUUUUUAAAGUAAAGUGCUUUAAAAUGAA